GCCAGGGGCCGCGGGUCUGCGGCGCUUACAGGGACCACCCUGGGCGGAAACGCCUGGUGAGCCCUCCCGCUUGCAGCCUCGCACCGCCGGGCAAGCUAGGCUCCUCCUGCACGCACGAAGGAGGAUUCCACAGGAACGAACCACGACCCCCAAGGUUUCGCAGUUGUAAGACCGCAGCGCAGGAUCGAAACCCCGACCCGGCUGCAGAGUCCCCCUGCGGUUUGGCCGGGCCUCAAAGGCCUGAAACUCCUGACCCAUCGCCCAGCCAGAACGAGGGGACGUUUCAUGCCAGCCCUGUCACAGCCCCCAACGACGAUCCCGAAGCUUCGGUGAUUUGACCGGUCAGAGAGAAUGCCUUUGUUUUCCUGACUGACGUGCAAUCCUGGGGAAGGCACUCUGGCCUCAUUUUGUUCGCGAGACUCAACCCGGCGGCGCGCCUGUCUCGUGUCCUUUCUACUGUAACAAUAUGUUCGUUUCAACCCCCGACUGGGCUUCGACCUCCUUCUGUUAUUGAAGGCAUGGGAUGAAAUCAUUCUUCUUUUUUUUUUUUUUUUUGAGGGAGUCUCACUCUAUUGCCCAGGCAGUGGUGUAAUCUCGGCUAAAUGCAACCUCCGCCUCCCGGAUUCAAGAGAUUCUCCUGCCUCAGCCUCCUGAGUAGCUGGGACUACAGGCGCCCGCUGCCACGCCCGGCUGAUUUUUUUUUUUUUUUUUUUUUUUUUGAGACGGAGUCACCCAGGCUGGACUGCAGUGGCGCGAUCUCGGCUCACUGCAAGCUCCGACUUCCCGUUUCCCGCCAUUCUCCUGCCUCAGCCUCUCUGAGUAGCUGGGACUACAGGUGCCCGCCACCACGCCGGGCUAAUUUUUUGUAUUUUUAGUAGAGACAGGGUUUCACCGUGGUCUCGAUCUCCUGACCUCAUGAUCUGCCCGCCUCGGCCUCCCAAAGUGCUGGGAUUACAAGCGUGAGCCACUGUGCCCGGCCAAAUUUUUGUAUUUUUAGUAGAGACGGGGUUUCACCAUAUUGGCCAAGCUUGUCUCGAACUCCUGACCUCGCGAUCCACUCGUCUUGGCUUCCCAAAGUACUGGGAUUACAGGCGUGAGCCACCGCACCCGGCCGAGAUCAUUCAUUUUCAAAGGGAGAGGCAGCUCUGAAUCUCUAGGGCUAAGAGAGGGAUGUGUUUGGUUUGAAAAAGCAUGUUUAAUUUAAUGAUUUUGUGUUUUUUCCAAACACAGUACCCAGAGAGAACGGCCAGCAGGCCCGCGGCUGAUGGUUGCUUCUGUGUUUCCUGCGUGGUAGGAGGGAAGCAGUGGAAGUUCCAUCUUUGUCAAAGAGGAACCUGUCUGUGACAUCUGAAACACUGCACUAAAGGCUGCCAGUGUGCCCUUCGGGCUCUGAAACCCGGCCCAGUGCAAGCAAGACUGUGGCCUGGACCAGGGCUGAGAGCUGUUUGUCAGGAGAGAUUCGGGCCAUUCCCUGGGGUUUGGGUUGGAAGGGUGAUGUUACCAAGAUUGGAAGGAAGGUCACAGUUUCCCUGAGGUGUCCCUGGCCCAACUGCAGGAGGGCUGACUGACAUCUGCCAGUAUGCACAGCCAGUCCCUGGAUGCCCAGCAUGGCCCAGGUCUGUGUGACCCUGUCUGGAGUCCCCAGACUUGCUAUGUCCCUACCCAGGCCCUGGUGGGCUCAUGACCUCCCCAGUCCAGUUCUGAUGCUGCCUGUCCCUGUGAAGCCCACUCCAGUGUUCAUAUCACCAGGGCUGGGCUCAGGCCUGUGUCCUUGCCCCUCUCUCCAGGGCAUCUUGGGUCUCCCUUGGUGACAGUACCUGCACCCUGCGGGCAGCCUGCGCUGGCUGUGAACCACACUGCCGCCUACUUCCUCUUCUAUGUUCCCGCUCUGUCCACAGUCCCCUCUGAACACUCCCGUGAAGCAGGUUCUAGGAUCAUCUCCAUUUUAUAGAAGGGGAGAUUGAGGAUCAGAGACAUGCAGUCAUUUGCCCAAGGACACACGCAGGAAGUUCAAUGGCUUCCAAUCCCAUGCUCUUUCCUCUACACCGUGCUGACUCACUUGAGGUUUUAACAGGGGGCGGCAAACACAGCUCCUCUCCCCUUGACCCUCUCACUCCCAAAGCCCAUAGGACCCUGCCGCAGGGUGGCACAUACUUAACCUCCUUGGGGGGGCCUCCAGCUCCCCUCUCUGUGUAGAGCCUACGUUCCCUGCUGUGCUGAGUCCUUGGCUCUGCUCAGCUCAGCCUGACCGGGCUGCGGUCAUUUGAAUCCCCAGUGCUGCCGCCCACCGGUCACCCUGUCCUGUCACCAGGUGGUGACUGGCCCAGUGACCCCCAAGACAACCCGCCAGAAAAGAAUCAUGCCAGGUGCUCACCUGCUCACUGCAGAGGGCUCUAAAUCUGCAACUCAGGUAACAGGGAAACAACUGAUUGGAGUUACCACCCUCAGGUUGCUAAGGCCAAGUGCCUGCCAAAUCCAGCGGCUCGGCUGGGGUGGACUCUGCCCACCAUCAGCAAAACGACAUUCACCAGGAGGCUUAGAGGUAAUUGCUCUGGUUAACUGGAUUUGCUGGGCAUCUGAAGGCUAACUUGCAGAGUCUUUCUAUCAUGCCAGACUUUAAUAGCAAAAAGUUAGAAAGACCUAAACAUUCAGCAGUAGGGGACUUGUAUAAUAAACCAUGGGUUAUUCAUAUAAUGGCACACUAUGAUGUCAUUCCAAAUGUUAUAGAAGAAUGUUCAAUGACUGGACAGAUGGUUACGAUAUAUUAAGUGAAAGUUUCAGAAAAGUAAUACAGAAUAAGCCCAUAUUGUAAAAAAAAAAAAAAAAGAUUUCCUUUUUUUUUUUGAGACGGAGUUUCGCUCUUGUCACCCAGGCUGAAGUACACUGGCGCAAUCUCGGCUCACUGCAACCUCUGCCUCCUGGGUUCAAGCAAUUCUCCUGCCUCAGCCUCCCAAGUAACUGGGAUUACAGGCGCCUGCCACCACACCCAGCUAAUUUUUGUAUUUUUAGUAGAGGUGGGGUUUCAGUGUGUUGGCCAGACUAGUCUUGAAUUCCUAACUUCAAGUGAUCCACCCACCUCGGCCUCCCGAAGUGCUGGGAUUACAGACAUCAUCCACCAGCCCAACAAUUCACUCCUGACCCAAUGAUUAAAAAAAAAAAACUUGUAGGCCGGUUGUGGUGGCUCACAAUGUACUACAUUUGUAGACAUUUUGGUGCCUUAAUGUGAGCAAGGGUUGCACAAGUUUUGAUAGGCAUGUAUUCCAGAGAUGUAUAGAAAUUCUAGUUAAGGCAUGAGCCACCCUGCCCAGCCCUAACGGUGGGCUUUUUUUUUUUGAGGCAGGGUUUCACUGUCUCCCAGGCUGGAGUGCAUGGAGAGCAGUUGUUCCAGCAUAGUGAUUACAUGGUUUUUAUAUCAUUCCAUUUUCUUUCCUUUGUUGGCUUAUUAGGUAUAACUCUUUCUUUCUUCUGGUCCACCACUCCCUGACUUCUUUCCCUCCUUUUGCUUUUUCAGUGAAGGCUUCAGGGUUUCCAGAAUACAUCUUUAUCAGUGCCAUCUAGUGACAUUAUACCUCCCCUUCUGGCCAUUAUGCUAGUGUUGUCAUGUAAUUUGAUUUUAGACAUGUUAUAAAACCCAGAAUCCAUUAUUAUUGCCUUUGUUUAAUCGGUCAAAUUAUUUUAAAAGAUUUAAAUAAUAAGAACAUGUAUAUUUAACUGUGUACAUACCGAUUUCCAGUAGUCUCCAUUUCUUUGUGUAGAUGCAGAUUUCUGUCUGGUAUCCUUGUAGUGUGGGUUGCUGAAUUCUUUCAUUUUUUUGUAUGUCUUUAAAUGUCCUUAUUUCAGUCACAUUCUUGAAAGAUUUUUCACUUUGACAUGGAAUUCUAGGAAAACUUUAUUUCUUUCAGUACUUUAGGAUGUUGCCACUUUGUUUUUGUAAAACUGGCAUAAAGUUGGCUUCCUGUACUUAUAUAAUUUUUGGAAUGUGUAUUUAAGUUAAAAACAUUAAAAUGGGCUGGACCAGGUGGUGCAUGCCUGUAGUCCCAGCACUUUGGGAGGAGGAGACAGGAGGAUCGCUUGAGGACCAGAGUUGGAGACCAGUAUGGGCAAGAUUGCAAGACCCUGUCUCUCUGUCUCUCAUACACACACACACACACACACAUCAUGAAUGUCUUAGAUUCAUUGUAAGUUCCACCGACAGUGCGCUUAAAGUAAAAUGUGCCCAACCUGAGGGUCAAACCUACCUGCUGACAUGUAGUUUGUGCUUGUGAGACAUUCUCAACAGCAUUUCCUUUCCCUAGCAUAGUGGUUUUCGUGUUUUCCUCACACCUGAAUGUCUUAAGUGCAAAACCUGUCAGUCAGAAAUCAUUUCCUUUGCCAAAAGAUUCUAAAAUACUUUUUUUUUUUUUUUUUAGGCCAGGUGUGGUGGCUCACGCCUGUAAUUCCAGCACUUUGGGAGGCCAAGGUGGACGGAUCAUGAGGUCAGGAGAUCGAGACCAUCCUGGCUAACAUGGUGAAACCCUGACUCUACUAAAAAUACAAAAACAAAAUUAGCUGGGUGUGGUGGUGGGCGCCUGUAGUCCCAGCUACUCCGGAGGCUGAGGUGGGAGAAUGGCGUGAACCCAGGAGGCGGAGCC
rnacentral:lncRNA from 1 species